rnacentral:rRNA from 1 species
GAACCGUCCAAACGUUAUUCGGAAUUACUGGGCUUAAAGGGUGCGUAGGCGGCCCGGCAAGUUGGGUGUGAAAUCCCUCGGCUCAACCGAGGAAUUGCGCCCAAAACUGCCGGACUUGAGGGAGGCAGAGGUGAGUGGAACUAUGGGUGGAGCGGUGAAAUGCGUUGAUAUCCGUAGGAACACCGGUGGCGAAAGCGGCUCACUGGGUCUCUUCUGACGCUGAGGCACGAAAGCUAGGGGAGCGAACGGGAUUAGAUACCCCGGGUAGUCCUAGCUGUAAACGAUGAGCACUAGAUCGUAGAGAUCUCCAUGUCUUUACGGUCGAACUGAAAAGGUUAAGUGCUCCGCCUGGGGAGUAUGGCCGCAAGGCUG